rnacentral:rRNA from 1 species
UUCCUACGGGAGGCAGCAGUGGGGAAUAUUGGACAAUGGACCAAAAGUCUGAUCCAGCAAUUCUGUGUGCACGAUGAAGGUCUUCGGAUCGUAAAGUGCUUUCAGUAGGGAAGAAAAAAAUGACGGUACCUACAGAAGAAGCGACGGCUAAAUACGUGCCAGCAGCCGCGGUAAUAAA